CCUACGGGAGGCUGCAGUAGGGAAUAUUGCUCAAUGGGGGAAACCCUGAAGCAGCAACGCCGCGUGGAGGAUGAAGGUUUUCUGAUUGUAAACUCCUUUUGUUAGAGAAGAUAAUGACGGUAUCUAACGAAUAAGCACCGGCUAACUCCGUGCCAUCAGCCGCGGUAACACGGAGGGUGCAAGCGUUACUCGGAAUCACUGGGCGUAAAGAGCGCGUAGGCGGGAUAGCAAGUCAGAUGUGAAAUCCUAUGGCUUAACCAUAGAACUUCAUUUGAAAAUGUUAUUCUAGAGUAUGGGAGAGGUAGGUGGAAUUCUUGGUGUAGGGGUAAAAUCCGUAGAGAUCAAGAGGAAUACUCAUUGCGAAGGCGACCUGCUAGAACAUAACUGACGCUGAUGCGCGAAAGCGUGGGGAGCAAACAGGAUUAGAUACCCUAGUAGUC
rnacentral:rRNA from 1 species